rnacentral:misc_RNA from 1 species
UUAAGUUCAGCGGGUAGUCCUACUCGAUUUGAGGUCAAGUUGUCAGAGAGUGUCCUAAGACAGUUAGAAGCCCAGAGCUCCCAAUCGGCCACCCCCUUGCGAGGCGCCGGCGAAGACACUUAUCACGCCGUACUAUGUCCAACCAAGAGUUGCACUAAUGCAUUUGAGGUGAGCUGCAGUAAAGCAGCAACACCCAAGUC